CGGAAACGGGCGCUAAUACCGCAUACAUCCUGAGGGAGAAAGUGGGGGAUCUUCGGACCUCACGCUAUCAAAUGAACCUAGGUCGGAUUAACUAGUUGGUGGGGUAAAGGCCUACCCAGGCGACGAUCCGUAACUGGUCUGAGAGGAUGAUCAAUCACACUGGAACUGAGACACAGUCCAGACUCCUACGGGAGGCAGCAGUGGGGAAUAUUGGACAAUGGGCGAAAGCCUGAUCCAUCCAUGCCGCGUGUGUGAAGAAGGUCUUCGGAUUGUAAAGCACUUUAAGUUGGGAGGAAGGGCAGUAAGUUAAUACCUUGCUGUUUUGACGUUACCAACAGAAUAAACACCGGCUAACUUCCUGCCAGCAGCCGCGGUAAUACGAAGGGUGCAAGCGUUAAUCGGAAUUACUGGGCGUAAAGCGCGCGUAGGUGGUUCAUCAAGUUGGAUGUGAAAUCCCCGGGCUCAACCUGGGAACUGCAUCCAAAACUACUGAGCUAGAGUACGGUAGAGGGUGGUGGAAUUUCCUGUGUAGCGGUGAAAUGCGUAGAUAUAGGAAGGAACACCACUGGCGAAGGCGACCACCUGGACUGAUACUGACACUGAGGUGCGAAAGCGUGGGGAGCAAACAGGAUUAUAUACCCUGGUAGUCCACGCCGUAAACGAUGUCGACUAUCCGUUGGGAUCCUUGAUAUCUUAGUGGCGCAGCUAACGCGAUAAGUCGACCGCCUGGUGAGUACGGCCGCAAGGAUAAAACUCAAAUGAAUUGACGGGGGGCCCGC
rnacentral:rRNA from 1 species